AUUUCUUUUUGUCAAGUAAUAGCAAUAAUUAUAUGUCUAAAAAUAUAAACCAUCAUUUUUUUCUUUUAAGCCAGCAUUAUUAAAAGAAAAAAAGAAAAAAAAGAAAAGAAAAGAAAACAGGAGUUUAAGAAAUAAAAAUUCAGAGAUUUUAAUGGGUACCCUUAGAUACAAUUUACAAAUGGACGGUACAGAUUAAAUUUCAUCUGGUUUUGCGCUACUACUACCGCUCCAAGACUGACACAGUUCGAAUCCCACAGACACACAGAGAACGCGCCAACCCCUUCUUUCCCACUCGCCCACGCGCCGAUCGGACUUGGGCUUCGGGUUCUCACCGGCAAGCUCUGAUCCAACCGCCGGCGAAAAAAAUUACCGAAAGCACCAAACUUGUUUUCGCUAUGGAUGAUGUUGAACAUGUAGGAGAUCAUUCUAAAGGAAUGUCAGAACACUUCUAAUAAGGUAUAUAAUCCUCAAGUAUUAGAUGAUCACAAACCAAGGAUAGGUCAAGAAUUUGAAUCACUGGAUGAUGUUCAUGAAUUUUAUAAUAAAUAUGCGAAAGAAGGUUCUAGCAAAACGAAUAGAGAUAAUGAAAUUGUAAGAAAGGAGUAUGUAUGCUCUAAAGAAGGAAGAGCUUGUAAAGACGAGGAUAGUGGGAAGAAAAGGCAUCGUGGGACAGUACGGGAGGGUUGCAAAGCAAAACUAGCUACUGUGAAAUUGAAGUCCAGAGCCUAUGCAAUUAGCAUCUUCGCUGAAAGUCACUAUCAUCCUUUGGCAAUCCUGCAAAGAGUACAUUUAUUAAGAUCUCAUCGAAGAGCUUCAAAAACUAAAAAAACCAUUAAUUGAAGAGCUUUCUGCAGUAAGUUUUCCAACAAAAAAGGAUAAAGGGGGCAUAGAAAAUAUUGGAUGUGCACAAAAAGAUAUCGAUAACUUUGAGAGAAUUUUGCAUAAUGAGAUGAAAGCGCAUGAUGUAGAGAUGCUUCAUGAACAUUUUGAGUUUGAACAAGAAAAAAAAAAAAAAAAAUUCAUCAUUCACUUUUCGAAUGGAGGUUGAUAAUGAAAAUUGUUAAACUCACUGUUUUUGGGCAGACUUAUACAUAUUUGGUAUGUUGUUGUGUUUGAUACCACAUACAACGCCAAUCGAGAUUACAUGAUAUUUGUACCUGUUAUGGGGGUAAAUAACUAUGGUCAGACAAUUAUUUUUGCAUGUGCACUCUUUGAGUGAUGAGACUGCCGAUUCUUGUAUUUGGUUGUUUGAACAAUUUAAGAAAGCCAUGUCCAUCAGUUGACCCAAAAUGGUAAUUACUUGUGAAAAUCCAGCAAUGUCAAGAGCUAUUUCUCAUACCUUCCCGAAUUCAUUAAAUAUAUUUUGUGUUUGGCACAUAUUGGACAAACUUUCAAAGAAGUUAAAUGCUGUUAUAUACAGAGAUCGUUAUGAAGACUUUCAAAAGUGUAUUCUGUAAUCAGAAAUUUCUGUGGAGUUUGACAUCAAGUGGAUAGAGAUUGUUGAAAAAAACCGUUUACAUGAUGAUAGUUGGUUGCAACUAAUGUAUGAAAUGCGUUCGAAAUGGGUGCCUGUAUAUGUCAAAACUCUUUUCUAAGCUGGAAUGUCUACUGGUCAAUGUGCAGAGAGUUCUCACAUGUUCUUCAAAAGAUAUGUUUCCAACAAAAAUUCUUUAAUAGAUUUUGUAACAAGGUUUAAUGGAGCACUUGCUCACCAAUGUACUAAAGAAUUAAGCGCCUUUCACAGUGAUCUGAAUGAAAAGCCCGUGUUGAGAUUGCCAUUGGAGCUAAGCCAAUGGCUGAUUUUUAUACAUGUAUAAUUUUUUAUAAAUUUCAAGAUGACUUGUGGGAUAGCUUAUUACAUGUAGUUGAACUCACCAGGGAGGAUGCCAAUCAAUAUGUUUAUAAAGUUGGGAAGAGAAGUGAAAAGGGCUGCAAGGUACUGGAUAUUGUUCUUGAUAUUAAAAAUAAAUAAAUAAAUAAAAAAUAGAUUUUCAUCAUGUAGUUGGAAGAAAUUUGAGAUUGAAGGAAUCCUGCGUAGACAUAUUUUGGCAAAUUUAAGGAAUAAGCAAAUUGUUUAUCUGCCAAACCAAUACAUUUUGAAUAGAUGGGCUAAGGAUGCAAAAUCUAAGGAAGUCUGAGAUGAUGGGGGAAUGAAGAAAAAUGAUUCCCAUGAUAACUCAUUACUUUUAAGGCGAAAUAGGUUGCUCCAACUUGCUUUGGAUGUGAUUGACAAUGUAACAAGUGAGGAGGCAGGCAUUCACAUUCUUGACUAAUAGCUCGGAAGCUGUGCUUGAGAAGGUUAGACCACUGUUUGAAAAUUGUAAGAGUGAAAGAGGUUUGAAAAAAAGAGAUUCUGGAAAGGACGGUAACCCUAGCGAUCAAAGUUGCAAUGAGCAACUCCAACUUGGAGUGAAAAAGUGUGGAAAGAGACUGAAGGCAGUAAGAGAAAGAGCUUAAAAGCUAAGCAAGGGACUGCUCAAUGAACGAAUGGCAUGUGGGAUCUGUUUUGAGGUGUAUUCUCAUGUUAGGAUGCUUACUGCUGCUGUGGCAAUCCCUUUUGCAAUUCAUGCUGGUAAAGUUUGAUCCAUUAUGAUUUUGUCAAUUAUGGGCUAUGAUGUUUGGCUUGACAAUAAAUAAUGAUGGUUUAUGAUAAAAUCAUCAUCUUUUUGAGAAUUCAGAAUUGCAUAUAAAAAAACACCUCUUUAAAGAGAGUGGCAGCAGCAAUUACUGAGCCAAUUUGGUUUUUGUUUUUAUCGAUAGUUCGGAUAUCUAGAUUGGAAAGCAAAGAGUAUUUCUUUAUUUUGAUCCAGUUUUGGGGUAAUCAAAUUGAUUAUUCACUAGAUCUCAAUAUAUUCAUGGAAACUUUAGUCAGGUA